rnacentral:rRNA from 1 species
AACGCGAAGAACCUUACCAAGGCUUGACAUACGCCGGAAACUGGUAGAGAUAUCAGCCCCCUUGUGGUCGGUGUACAGGUGGUGCAUGGUUGUCGUCAGCUCGUGUCGUGAGAUGUUGGGUUAAGUCCCGCAACGAGCGCAACCCUUGUUCUGUGUUGCCAGCGAGUAAUGUCGGGGACUCACAGGAGACUGCCGGGGUCAACUCGGAGGAAGGUGGGGACGACGUCAAAUCAUCAUGCCCCUUAUGUCUUGGGCUGCACACGUGCUACAAUGGCCGGUACAAAGGGCUGCGAUGCCGCGAGGCGGAGCGAAUCCCAAAAAGCCGGUCUCAGUUCGGAUUGGGGUCUGCAACUCGACCCCAUGAAGUUGGAGUUGCUAGUAAUCGCAGAUCAGCAUGCUGCGGUGAAUACGUUCCCGGGCCUUGUACACACCG